rnacentral:rRNA from 1 species
AGAGUUUGAUCAUGGCUCAGAACGAACGCUGGCGGCAGGCUUAACACAUGCAAGUCGAGCGCCCCGCAAGGGGAGCGGCAGACGGGUGAGUAACGCGUGGGAACGUACCCUUUACUACGGAAUAACGCAGGGAAACUUGUGCUAAUACCGUAUGUGCCCUUCGGGGGAAAGAUUUAUCGGUAAGGGAUCGGCCCGCGUUGGAUUAGCUAGUUGGUGGGGUAAAGGCCUACCAAGGCGACGAUCCAUAGCUGGUCUGAGAGGAUGAUCAGCCACAUUGGGACUGAGACACGGCCCAAACUCCUACGGGAGGCAGCAGUGGGGAAUAUUGGACAAUGGGCGCAAGCCUGAUCCAGCCAUGCCGCGUGAGUGAUGAAGGCCCUAGGGUUGUAAAGCUCUUUCACCGGUGAAGAUAAUGACGGUAACCGGAGAAGAAGCCCCGGCUAACUUCGUGCCAGCAGCGGCGGUAAUAC